rnacentral:lncRNA from 1 species
GUGCAGAAAUCUGUCAGUUUGAUCUUAAGGUUUUAAUUUUUCAGUUUUGGUUUGUUUCUUUGCAAUUUUGGGUUUAAUUCAUCUAUGUGUGCAAAAUUUUGAUUUUUGCUUUUGUUGUUUGCUGAUUCUAGGUGGAUUGGUUUGUUUGGUGAUUUUGGGAUAGGCUUUGGGGUUAGGGAAUGGUUUUUGAAGAAUCAUUUUUGUUUAGGAUUGAGCUGUGAUAGGGGCUUGGAAUGUGACUAUGUGAGGAAUUAAAUGGUGAAAUGUUAAAUAAACAUGUUUGUUUUUUUUUUUUUUUUUAUGGCAAAAUCUAGAAAAAAGUUGUGGGAUCUAGGGAUAUAGGCUUUAUUGCAAAUGAACAUUGGGGAGAAUUUGAUGUUUCGGUUAAGAGAGAAUAUAACAAGAAACUGGAGAGUAAAGGAACUUUAGUUUUCAAGCCUUUAAUUU